CUGAAACCCGAUGCAGCCGAGGAGGCCGAUCGCGAGAUUAAUUAGGCUUUUUCGGGAACCUGACAGCCGGGGGGAAGCGAGCAAAAAGGGCCGGCUGCCCUCCCGGCGCGGCGCGCGCAUCCGCAGCGGCGAGGGGAGGCAGAGCCGGGCAGCCGCGGCGCUGCCGGGGAAGGAGCGGCGAGGACGACCCGCGCCGCGGCACCAUGGCCCGCGCCGCGCCACGGCUGCUCCUCGCCCUGCUGCCGCUCGCUGCAAUGCUGCAACACGGGGCGCGCGAGCACACGCCGCGUGCGGGGUCACGCCGUGCCCUGCGAAUCCUCCUCCAGCUCUCUCCGGGAACGCAGCCCCUUCCGUUCGCUCCGCUUGCGGGCUCUUCGAAAGCCCCAGUGCCGCGCGAGGACGCGCUGGCGGACGCUUGAGCUCCAGGGCUCGACGCAACGCCAUCCUGUGCCCGCGCCGUGGGGGAACGGCGCAGACCUUCCCAGCAUCCCAGCAGCUCCUUGACUGAUCGCCAGGAAACCCAGCUGUCCUGCAGUUGCUUUCCAGGAGAAACUCCGACUGCAGCAACUGUGGCCAGCAGCGCUUGGAAGCAUCUGCGACACACAAAGCACUCGGGGCCUGAUCCAAAGCCCGGUGGCGUACGCGGCCAGGCCCCACCGAGAUUAAUGCUUAUCUCAUUAAACGUUAAUGUCAUUAA